UCUGACUGCCUUUCAGCACAGGCUGCCUUGUUUGUGUAGGGUAUCCUUUAUACAGAAAGCUCUUUUUCUUUUUAAGCUGAACCAAAGUUUCUCAGGUGAAGGAAGCUGUGAAGUCUGCAGAUUUCAACGUACAAAGGUUAUUGUACCUCCAAUGUUGUUUCUGGGAGAAGACAUCCAGUGUUGCAUCUCUUUCAUUGACCUGUGACUUGAUGUGACAGAAGAACUCACAACAGAGGAUAUUUUCUGGAAUUUCAUGUCUGAGUGCCUCAGAAAUAGAACCAAAAAAAACCAAAAAAACAACUAGUGCUUCACUGCUAACAAGUGGAGAUGACUCACUGCUACUAAAGACUGAUUAUGGGAGGCAGCCUAACAAACAACACCUGUUCCAUAUGAAGAUCAUGUUCUUCAAUGUAGGAGCUAUUGGUUUGAUCUUACUAGAGCUUUUUACCUGGGCACAACUUGGAAUUCAAACCCUGUCAUUAUGGAAUGUUCUCACUGAAGUUAAGCAGAGACAUAUCAAAAGCCUGGUCUGAUUCUGGCUGUGACAAAGGGACA